rnacentral:lncRNA from 1 species
AGUGUUUGCGAGGAUGUUGUACAGUUAAGAGUGGGGCUAUGUAGAAUAAGUAGUUAUUUUCAGAAUGUAGAUACCUAGUGUAUAGUGUAAACAAAGAUAGAUAACUACUGAAAAGGUGGUUCAGCAGGUAGAAUGGAUGAAUAAUCAGGAAAAGUAGUUAUCAACUGUAGUAUAGGAUUUGGUAUCUCGAAGUAGUAUAAGGAGGAUGGGAGAGGGGAAGAAAAUGCCAAACUGUGAGAGUUGUGAGCCAGGGUAAGCUUAGUGCUACUUCUUUUCUUUUGUU